AACCCCGGAGGGCAAACCCGCGCGAAAGCCGGGGACGCAAAGCCACAGGUCUAAGGUUUCCCGCAGGACGCUUUUUAGCGGGGAGCUAUGACGGCUGGGUUGCAGGG
rnacentral:ncRNA from 2 species